AACGCGAAGAACCUUACCUGGGCUUGACAUAUACAUGACCGUUACAGAGAGGUAACUUUCUCGCAAGAGACAUGUAAACAGGUGCUGCAUGGCUGUCGUCAGCUCGUGCCGUGAGGUGUUGGGUUAAGUCCCGCAACGAGCGCAACCCUUGUCGUUAGUUGCCAACACGUGAUGGUGGGCACUCUAGCGAGACUGCCUAGGUUAACUAGGAGGAAGGUGAGGAUGACGUCAAGUCCGCAUGGCCUUUAUGCCCAGGGCUACACACGUGCUACAAUGGUCGGUACAGAAGGUGGCAAAACCGUGAGGUGGAGCAAAUCCCUAAAGCCGGCCCCAGUUCGGAUUGGAGUCUGCAACUCGACUCCAUGAAGAUGGAAUUGCUAGUAAUGGCGAGUCAGCAACAUUGCCGUGAAUACGUUCCCGGGUCUUGUACACACCG
rnacentral:rRNA from 1 species